GCUUCCCUGGUGGCGCAGUGGUUGAGAGUCUGCCUGCCGAUGCAGGGGACGUGGGUUCGUGCCCCAGUCCGGGAAGAUCCCACAUGCCGCGGAGCGGCUGGGCCUGUGAGCCAUGGCCGCUGAGCCUGCACAUCCGGAGCCUGUGCUCUGCAACGGGAGAGGCCACAACAGUGAGAGGCCCGCGUAUCGCAUAAAAAACCCCAAAAAACCAAGGGUGAGCAUGGAUGUGUAUAUUGCAGGUGGGGGAGUAGGUUCCAUUUGCAGUAACAUGGAUGGACCUAGAGAUUAUUUUUUUUCUGUAGAGACAGAUAUGCCAAUGAAACACCAGAAAGAAGAUAUCUGCUGUGUUCCAACAAAAUGCUAUUAAAAGUUUGAAUGCUAAUUACAAAAGUAAUACAUGUUUAUUAAAGAAAAAUUGGAAAAUACAUACAGUUUCAAAGAAGGGGAAAAGAUCUAUAAUUUCAUCACACAGCUAUUAAUAACCUUUAUGUCCCUUCAGACUUUCUUCAACAUAUAAUGCCCAGAAAAUGCAUAUAAUAUCAACUGGGCCAAUACCCUAAAUACAAUUUUGUGCUCUGAUUUUCAUAAUUUUUUUUGAAUUUUAUUGAUUUUUUUAUACAGCAGGUUCUUAUUAGUCAUCAGUUUUAUACACAUCAGUGUAUACAUGUGAAUCCCAAUCGCCCAAUUCAGCCCACCACCAACCCCACCCCCCCGCGGCUUUCCCCCCUUGGUGUCCAUAUGUUUGUUCGUCUCAGCUUCUGCCCUGCAAACUGGUUCAUCUGUACCAUUUUUCUAGGUUCCACCUACAUGUGUUAAUAUACGAUAUUUGUUUUUCUCUUUCUGACUUACUUCACUCUGUAUGACAGUCUCUAGAUCCAUCCACGUCUCAACAAAUGACUCAAUUUCGUUCCUUUUUAUGGCUGAGUAAUAUUCCACUGUAUAUAUGUACCACAUCUUCUUUAUCCAUUCGUCUGUCAAUGGGCAUUUAGGUUGCUUCCAUGACCUGGCUAUUGUAAAUACUGCUGCAAGGAACAUUGGGGUGUGUGUGUCUUUUUGAAUUAUGGUUUUCUCUGGGUAUAUGCCCAAUAGUGGGAUUGCUGGAUCAUAUGGUAAUUCUAUUUGUAGUUUUUUAAGGAACCUCCAUACUGUUCUCCAUAGUGACUGUAUCAAUUUACAUUCCCACCAACAGUGCAAGAGGGUUCCCUUUUCUCCACACCCUCUCCAGCAUUUGUUGUUUGUAGAUUUUCUGAUGAUGCCCAUUCUAACUGGUGUGAGGUGAUACCUCACUGUAGUUUUUUUUUUUUUUUUUUUUUUUUUUU